rnacentral:rRNA from 1 species
UACGUAGGGGGCAAGCGUUGUCCGGAAUCAUUGGGCGUAAAGAGCGUGUAGGCGGCUCGGUAAGUCCGCUGUAAAAGUCCAGGGCUCAACCCUGGAACGCCGGUGGAAACUGUCGAGCUAGAGUCCGGAAGAGGCGAGUGGAAUUCCUGGUGUAGCGGUGAAAUGCGCAGAUAUCAGGAGGAACACCAAUGGCGAAGGCAGCUCGCUGGGACGGUACUGACGCUGAGACGCGAAAGCGUGGGGAGCGAACAGG